rnacentral:rRNA from 1 species
UUCCCAGACUCCUACGGGAGGCAGCAGUGGGGGAUAUUGCACAAUGGGGGAAACCCUGAUGCAGCGACGCCGCGUGUGGGAAUACGGUCCUCUGGCUUGUAAACCACUGUCCCCAGGGACGAAGAUGACGGUACCCUGUGAGGAAGCCACGGCUAACUACGUGCCAGCAGCCGCGGUAAUACGUAGGUGGCGAGCGUUGUCCGGAAUUACUGGGUGUAAAGGGAGCGUAGGCGGGAUAUUAAGUUGAAUGUAUAAACUACCGGCUUAACCGAUAGAAGCGUUCAAAACUGAUAUUCUUGAGUGAAGUAGAGGCAGGCGGAAUUCCUAGUGUAGCGGUGAAAUGCGUAGAUAUUAGGCGGAACACCAGUGGCGAAGGCGGCCUGCUGGGCUUUAACUGACGCUGAGGCUCGAAAGCGUGGGUAGCAAACAGGAUUAGAUACCCCUGUAA